UACUUUAUAUCGAGUUGGACAAAGCCAUCAGCUAAAUUAAUAGUAAUUAUGAAUUAAUAAACUCCUUUGCCAGAUUAAUGUCCGCCACAAGCGGAAUCGAUACGCAUGCGCACAUAUACGCUUUUUGUGUGUGACAAUGGAGCAUAGUGAGUAACGCUUUGAAAGAGACUUUGAAAGUCCGGACUUGGCGACAGUAAAUAAUAAAAAUAGUACAAUUCAUUUUUAAUUACUAGUAUCAGUCUGAAGAGAGGCAAUAGUCAAUAUUGUGGUUAUGAAAGUGUGCAGAUUGUUUUUCAUAUUACAGAUGAAGAAGAUGCAGACAGCUUGGGGACAAAGAUGAGAGGCAAAAAAAUAAAAAAAGAAAAACUACCAAAACACCAGCAUCUAUGCCACGAACACCUCACGCUUCUCCCAACACUGCACUGAUUUCUCCCGUUAGUAGCCAUGAGAGUAUUUCUCCAGGCAGUCACCAUGUGAGUGCCAAAAGGCCAAGUGAGCAGAGGACAGCUCCUAAUGAUAGUAAGUUCAUCGCUUUUCACGUGAUUGUAAGGGUGUAAUCUUGGGAUAAGAACUUUGUUUAAUAUACAGCUCGUAUUUUUCAUGAUACUGGUGACAGGUUAUAUGUUUAUAGAAAUAUACGCUGAUAUGGACAGUCAUAUCCAUAAAACUAGACAUGUUAAAAAAAAAAAAAAAACAUUUUAAAUAUGUUAACACUAUUAAAAGUGGAUAUGUUACAGGAAUUUUAAAGUAAAAUUAUGAUGGAGAAACAUACAGAGAUGAUAACCCUACUGAGGACAAUGCUAGCCAGUAAUGGAACUGUUGAAGAUGUAGGCGACAUAAUUGAUCGGCCGUGCAGUGACGUUAGGGAGCUAGAGGAACUCUAGACGUUUGCAAAAGGACAAUGCAUACAGAAAGAACAUGGUAAGAAAACAGCAGGUUUUAUGAAAAACAAUUACGAAUUUAACGAUAUCGGUAGACUCCAUUUAUAUUCCUUAAUAUAUGUAAUUGUUUGUCUUUUCAGAUCAUCUACCUGAGUUCGCUAGGUGGCAGCAAUGCUGGGGACAGCAUCCGACAUAUGAUGAGGAAGUUGGGGACAUACUAGCUUUGGGCUCAAUACAGCCUUAUGGGCAGGAAAGGAAAGAACAGUUUGCAGGAUCUUGCCAUCUGCAGAAUUAUUUGCACAGGAGCACUUUGUUGAACUGACAAAAAUGUGAAGGCCAGUGAUGUGGAGGACCUAACAGCGAAGACGCUGAGAUAUGCACCUCAGCGAGGAGGAAGGGAAUGACAGUAGGGGGCAGUUUGUGAGCUGAAAAGCCUGACGGACGGCAGGAGGAAGAAAAAGAGAGCAGCAUGAGAGACACAUAGAGACGCACACGACCCUCAGAAACCGCAGAGCAGCAAGUGCUGCAGGGAGAGAGAAGUCGCCAUCUUUAGUAUAGUUGUUUUCCCCAUCGCAGGUUUAUUUACUUUAUUUUGCCUUUCUUAUUUUAGCUUAUUUUAUUCCGACAGCCCUUGCGGGCAAGUCGGUGAAGGUUACUUUCAGUUUUGUUUUCUUUAUUUUUCUAUUAAUCUGUUGAAACAAAGCUCUCUGGCUCCUUGUUUUGGGUUCAUUUCUAAUAAACACGG